GGUCAGUUAAGUGGAGAGUCCUACCGUGCAAUGGAGAAACAAAGAAAGAAGACGCGUCAUUAUCCAUUUUGAGUUUUCUGUCUUAGGUCAUAGAGUUGUUGGAAUUGUUGCAGUUUAUUCAUGUGUUCAAUGAUGCUUCUGUGUCAACACAAACAAAUGGCUUCUCCUGUUGUAACAUUGACUGAAAACUAAAUCUUGCAUGGCGAAUGAAGCUUUCAUUUUGGUUGUUCUUGUAAAACUAAAGAAUUAUAUUGGCUCUGAUUGUUUGCUGGUAAAUGGUUAAUCCUUGUGUGUUCACUGUGUUGGUAAUGCUGUGUUUCAUCAUUUCCUAAAAUAAUCUUAAACUACACAGCAACUACCAGUAUAUUUUUCUGUUAGCUGUUAGUUAAACUCAGUCUUGGACAACUUUUAUUUGCCAAGCAAUAAUUUUAUUCACAGCAAUAUAACAAUACAAGAGUCAAUGUCUGCACAUUGAAGGAGGCCUGAACUUGUGAUGGGGCUUAACUCUGUUGUAGUGUACAUCAAUUAUAGUUUGUUUUGGGACCUGCUCCCUGACUUAUAGAUUCUCCUUGUACAUAUGAUAUGAUCUCAAUACACAGGUUUUGGGCGUGACUAAGUGCAUGUGCAUGCUUUGUACAAUUCCUUAACUUUGUUAAUGGAAUUUGAACAUAAUAUUUUUACACUAUGUGUGCAAAAAUGAUUUUAAUGAAAAUAUAGAUUGUAUAUUUUAAUAUAAACUACCUGUUGGCCUGUGAUUUAUUUUCCAUACCCUCUAUGGCACAAAUUGUUGACAUUCAUGUUAGAGAAUACACAAUAUUUCAUCAGAUAUAUUUUAACAUUUACCUCACUGUAUAAACACAUUUGUUUUUCAUUUUUCCACUUUGCACACAAAGACUAGAGUUGUACCUAUAUUGUUUUAUUGGGUAGGGCUUUUGUGAUAGAUAUAAUAUUAUUGAACAGAAAAUAUACACGCUUCAUUAUGCAGCACCAGCAAUAUGUAGACUGUCUGAUCAACAAUUGAGCUACUAAUGGGGGAAUUUAGUAAAUUUGUUUACUUAAAACACCAGUUGUUUAUUAUAUUGAUUUGAUUUCUUAUUACCCUAAUUAAAUAAUCUGUAGAUUGAAUGGAGCCAUAAUGAAGAGCUUUGUGAUUUAUAAUACUCUUCUUAGUUCUAGUUUUGUUGUUAAAGAACUAUUCCCAUUGGUUGCUGGACUCCGUGACUUUUUAUUUUGUAAAAUGGCUAACAGAAAAAGUAUUUUGUGUUUUGAGAUUAUUCUUUAAAGAGCUUGAUACUCUGGGGAUCCUCAGAUUUUCUUGUUAAGUUUUAUUUUUUGAAAUAAGAUUCCUGCUGCUGAAUAAAAUGGGACAUCUUGUGAAUUCAUUCUUAUUGUAUAUAUACUAAUACAUAAUGCAAUAUUUCAUGAACAUAUUUCAUAUUUACCAUUGUAUAUUUUUUACAUUAUAUAUUCAAUACAUAUUUAUGUAUAUUCAUGUACGUACUCAUAAAAAGGCUGUGUUUUCUGACUGUUAUUUUUUAUCAUAAAUCAUUUGUAUACCUAUUUUUACUGAGUAGAAAAGCACUCAAAAUUGACGUGUCAUGGUCUUUAUUUCUAUUCAAACUUUUUAAAAAAAUUAAAGAUGAUUGUUAUUGAUUUUUAACACUGAUGACAAUAACAUCAUAUUCCAUAUAAAGGUCCCUAGUGACACUAUUUAUAGUAACUUGUACCAUCUAUAAUAUUCCACUAAAUGGUGCCACCUAGUUGUUUCAUGCCUCAAUAAAUACUGUUUUAUGUUGCUUAGACACCCCCCCCCCCCCUGUAAAUAUCAGUAUUUUUCAUUUCUUAGUCAUCAAGACAACAUAUUUUGAACCUCAGUGACCCUUAUACUAACUAAAAAGUAAAUGUGGAGAAUUUGAAAUGUUUAAACCAAUGUUCUUGAUGGGGAAAUUGUCGAUCUUUAUAACAAAAUCAUGUCCAGUACAGAGAAAAAAAUGACAACAUUUUUAUGGAAAGGAGUAGGGGGUGAUGGAAGAACUGUUUCUGUGUUGUCUGUCACCCCCUGUCCCUGGAGUUUCUGUGUGGGUCUUAGAGGGAGUCUGUGUGGGUCUUAGAGGGAGAGGUUGUACUCUGUGGUUAGUGCUUGUUCUGUUCAUACCUUCUUUUUUUUUGUUGCUCGUGUUUGACUUUUUAUGACAAUCGGUUGGCAACCUCUGCUAGUGCCUGGCUUUAUAUCAUUCCCUUGUAGGCUCAGAUGUUCUAACUUGUUUUAUGGUACUUCACCUGGACAUUAAUGUGAUUAUUUUUGUGAUUAAAGUUAGAAG
rnacentral:misc_RNA from 1 species